ensembl:lncRNA
CUGUACUUGGAGAUUACCUCCUUUGGAGCUUCUAGCAGGUCCUGUUCCUCAGAAAGAGGGUACUCCAAGACAUCAAUUGGAUGUUUCUGAAGCAUUUCUUUCUCUUGGACCAACACAUUGGUAUUACCCUCAAGAACAAACUACAAAUGUAUGGAAUCACGAGUUUGCUUUCAAGUGAAACUAGCUGGAAUGGACUGAUAUUCUUUAAACUAGCACCAAAAUUGCUUUACAUAUGCUUUCUGAUAUAAGUCCUAAAACUAAAGUAUUCAGUGAGUCUGAAUGUAACAGAAACUAGUGAAGAACAGCUGAGAAGUGGAAAUAAGGUGUAAUUACUCAAUUUGAUACUGCUGUUUCACAAAAAAUAUAUAAAGCAGAAAAAAGGUCCACAUAAACAACUGCCAGAACACUGUUUUGCUUUAAGAAUGUAUUUAUUAUCUUUGAAUUUCUAUUUCAUGCCGAACAUGGGAUGAGCUGUUCAAUUAUGAGUAAAGUAUCAUCAGGCUUAUAAAAGAUCAACUAUCCGUAUGUUCUACCCUUAAUUAUUUCAUCCACUAAUGAACUGGAUGUAUUUCUCCUUUUUUAUAGUGCUCUCCCUUUGGUUUAUUCUUCCAAAUGAAACAUGCCUGAGCUAUUAAUACUGGUUAUUUAUUUAUAUAUUUUCUUUAAGAAAAGUGCUAGUUGCUUUGAAUCGAUCCACUUGGUUAUUCAGUGAUGAUUCCUUAGAGUAGACUUAAAUGAGAGUUGACAAUACUGUGGAGCUACCCCCAAUCUUCCACUCCGUGUUUGAAUUCUAUUACAAUGAACUCUGGUAGAGCAAGACCCUUGAAUGCAACGUUUUUACAGUUUAAUUACCAUCUAGUGUAUUAGACCAUGGCAAAAACACAGCUUAAUGAAAUGUAUAUCCUGUUUCAGUGAAUGUUCACUUGACAGCACUGUUAUUUUAAAACUUUAUCGAAGCUCUGUAAACUAAGCUUUCACCAUCUGUUCUACCUGCUAAUUAUAAAUGCAAAAAGAACAUAACUCACAAGUGUAUCAUAAAAGUGGAUAAUGCAAUUGAUUAAAUGGUAUUGCUGCGU